UACGUAGGGGGCAAGCGUUGUCCGGAUUUAUUGGGCGUAAAGAGCGUGUAGGCGGCCUGAAAGGUCAGCUGUGAAAACUCGAGGCUCAACCUCGAGACGUCGGGUUGAAACCAUCUGGCUAGAGUCCGGAAGAGGAGUGUGGAAUUCCCGGUGUAGCGGUGAAAUGCGCCAGAUAUCGGGAAGAACACCGGUGGCGAAGGCGGCACUCUGGACGGU
rnacentral:rRNA from 1 species